rnacentral:rRNA from 1 species
ACUCAAAUGAAUAGACGGGGGCUCACACAAGCGGUGGAGCAUGUGGCUUAAUUCGAGGCUACGCGAAGAACCUUAUCCUGGGCUUGACAUGUGCGAAAGCGUUGGGAAGUAGCGGUCGGAAACGUCCCGCCAACGGUAUCCAGUCCGGAACCCAAUACAGGUGCUGCAUGGCUGUCGUCAGCUCGUGUCGUGAGAUGUCGGGUUAAGUCCCAUAACGAGCGAAACCCCUGCUUCUAGUUGCCAUCAUUCAGUUGGGCACUCUAGAAGGACUGCCGGUGUCAAACCGGAGGAAGGUGGGGAUGACGUCAAGUCCUCAUGGCCUUUAUGCCCAGGGCUGCACACGUGCUACAAUGGCGUGAACAAAGGGACGCAAGCUCGCGAGAGUAAGCAAAUCCCAAAAAGCACGCCCCAGUUCAGAUCGAAGGCUGCAACUCGCCUUCGUGAAGUUGGAAUCGCUAGUAAUCGCGGGUCAGCAACACCGCGGUGAAUGUGUUCCUGAGCCUUGCACACACCGCCCGU